rnacentral:rRNA from 1 species
CGAAGCGUGCGAUUGGAUUGCACGUCUAAGCAGUAAGGCUGAGUAUUAGGCAAAUCCGGUACUCAUUAAGGCUGAGCUGUGAUGGGGAGAAGACAUUGUGUCUUCGAGUCGUUGAUUUCACACUGCCGAGAAAAGCCUCUAGAUAGAAAAUAGGUGCCCGUACCGCAAACCGACACAGGUAGUCAAGAUGAGAAUUCUAAGGUGAGCGAGCGAACUCUCGUUAAGGAACUCGGCAAAAUGACCCCGUAACUUCGGGAGAAGGGGUGCUCUUUAGGGUUAACGCCCAGAAGAGCCGCAGUGAAUAGGCCC